CGCACCGAUGGUGGUUUACGAGGACCAUGACCUGAGACCGACUUAGGAGGACCGGUCAGAAAUGUACGUAAAAUAGGUUAUUACCACGUAAUUCAAAACUAUAUAUACUGAAAGUAUAUAAAUAGACUGAUUUAUGGUGUUUAAAGGCGUUUUAAUUUCAGUGAUGAUACACACUUCGGUUUACGAGGACCGGAUAGAACAAACCGUACGUGGGUUACGAGGACCGGGUAAAAACAAGCCUUACGUGGUUUACGAGGACCGGGUAAACACAAGCCUUACGUGGUUUACGAGGACCGGGUAAAACUAAGCACACAUGGUUUACAUGGUCCACGUUGAGCUAGCGCAUAUCUUUUAAGAUAUGUCAUAUGUGAUAUAUUUAUUUAGCGUUAGAGAGAUCACCAUGUUGAGGUCGAGAGUUCUCUGAUUUCUGACCGUGGUUGCCUGUCAGCACAUCAUUUGGGUUAGUUUAGCAAUACGUCUCUUCAGUAAAAUAAUUGAAAAUGAAAACACUUUUGCGCUAUGCGGGAUUGCUAUUUUUUUUAAUAAAACCCUGGCAGCUACAGUAAAAACCUACAAUGAUUUGACUUUUUUUAUUUUUGUGUUUUCACUCACGGGAACCCUGCGUCUAUUUUUCGCGCGUUUUGCUCUUGCAACUCGCGGCCAUCAGCCAACACACGAUGGUUUGGCAAAUGUUUUGCCUUUUUUUUCGUCGUGAAAACCAAGAAAGAUCGACACACUAUAAUAUAAAGAUUUACAAACGAUGGACAGAAGGAUAAACAAUGGAAUUUGAAAGAAGGUGAAUCUCACUUACAAGAUAGACUCCGAGAAAGCUACCAGCUUAGAAGCAUGAUGCUAGGGCAGGAUUUAUGUAAGGCGAUUGUAUUAAUGCAGCUCAGCAAAAAUUAACACAACCUGAGUAACAGAUAGAUAAUAAUUUUACCAAUGAAAAUUUUCUAAAAAACUGAACCAGAAUAAUAUAAUAAACUUUGUUGGUAAAAAUAGGUUUUCUUUUUUUUUUUGCACACAAAUAUCAUGCUUAAUGUACCGUGAACCCCCUAAUAAUUUAAUAUGGGGAUCUAGUGUGUCUAUGGUUCUCUACAAGGAGGUUCAGUGUUUCGGACCUUUCAGAAAAGGGUACAUUUCAAAGACUAUUAGCCGAAAAGAGGAAGUGUCUAAAACUUUUCAGCUAAUAUUUGCAAUAUUUCUACUAGAAAAAUUAUUUAUUCACCUUGGCAAAUACAAUAUACACUAAACUAGCGUAAUCUUCUGAUAUGCUUUUAUAUAGAAUGUAUAGUGUUUUAAUGUAUUUUUCUUGAACACAUGAUAUUACCUCCUUUAAAACCUAAUGGAAGCCAUUCCUGAUAAAAAACAAAAAAAUAUGUAUAUACAACCUUUUUCAAAAUUAGUCCAUGAAGAGAAUAAAAAACACCCAUUGUGCUGUAUUUGCUUCAAUUUUCUUGAACACAUGAUAGUACCUCCUUUAACCUAAUGGAAGCCAUUCCUGA